rnacentral:rRNA from 2 species
CGGUAGAGAGAAGCUUGCUUCUCUUGAGAGCGGCGGACGGGUGAGUAAUGCCUAGGAAUCUGCCUGGUAGUGGGGGAUAACGUUCGGAAACGGACGCUAAUACCGCAUACGUCCUACGGGAGAAAGCAGGGGACCUUCGGGCCUUGCGCUAUCAGAUGAGCCUAGGUCGGAUUAGCUAGUUGGUGGGGUAAUGGCUCACCAAGGCGACGAUCCGUAACUGGUCUGAGAGGAUGAUCAGUCACACUGGAACUGAGACACGGUCCAGACUCCUACGGGAGGCAGCAGUGGGGAAUAUUGGACAAUGGGCGAAAGCCUGAUCCAGCCAUGCCGCGUGUGUGAAGAAGGUCUUCGGAUUGUAAAGCACUUUAAGUUGGGAGGAAGGGCCGUUACCUAAUACGUGAUGGUUUUGACGUUACCGACAGAAUAAGCACCGGCUAACUCUGUGCCAGCAGCCGCGGUAAUACAGAGGGUGCAAGCGUUAAUCGGAAUUACUGGGCGUAAAGCGCGCGUAGGUGGUUUGUUAAGUUGGAUGUGAAAUCCCCGGGCUCAACCUGGGAACUGCAUUCAAAACUGACUGACUAGAGUAUGGUAGAGGGUGGUGGAAUUUCCUGUGUAGCGGUGAAAUGCGUAGAUAUAGGAAGGAACACCAGUGGCGAAGGCGACCACCUGGACUGAUACUGACACUGAGGUGCGAAAGCGUGGGGAGCAAACAGGAUUAGAUACCCUGGUAGUCCACGCCGUAAACGAUGUCAACUAGCCGUUGGGAGCCUUGAGCUCUUAGUGGCGCAGCUAACG